ACGCCUCAAACAGCAGGCGUCGGGUUUGGCGACCCGAGAAAUCAAAGCGCUCAAGCCGCGCCACGCGGCUUUUUU
rnacentral:sRNA from 1 species